rnacentral:tRNA from 1 species
AUUUAUUUAGUAUAUAAAAGUACCUUUGACUUCCAAUCAAAUUGAUUGAUUUUAAUCAAAAUAAAUA